AUUUGAAAAGCUCUGAUUCGAUAAAUCCAUUUUUUGUUUUUUUAAUUCUCGAACCCUCUCUACUGAUCUAGUGCUGUGGAAAGGUCAUAACAGGCAGACCCAUAUUCAACCCUACUUCAAUAUAACACCCCUUUCUCUCUUCCUUAUCUUUUUACCUUUUUCAGCUUAUUUUUAUGCUCCAGACAGAUUUUUGCCUUGUUGCACUUGUUCUUUUUUUUUUUUUUUGAGCAAUAUUUGUAUUAUUUCUGUAUGCAGGAUGCAGGAAUCUGAGGUUUGAAUUUUUUUUUCUUUGUUAUUUUUCUGUGGGGAUUCUUGAGAUUUGAAGGUUUUAACUUUCUGGUCAAUUUGAUAUUUUUAUUAAGUUAUAGCGUUGAAGCAAUUUCGCUGUUCGUAUACUGACUUUGUUUGUUGAGUUAAAAUUUACUUUUUAUGGCUUAAUGUUUCCUUUUAACUGAUCUAAUUUUAUUUUAUUUUUUUUAUUAUUAUUUUUUUAAUUCUAUCUUCUGUGGUUGUUUCAGGAUCUCAGGUUCUGGGUUUUGAAAUUUGAUGUAUAGAGGCUUAUAAGGUCUAGCUCUGUAUUACUUGGCGUAAAGUUAAAGAGGAGAUUGAAAGAUAAUCUUGAUUUGAAAUUGCAAGAUUUUGGGAUUUGGAUAUAUAGAUUUUUCUAUAUUGAAUAGAUGGUCAUGGAUCGGAAUUUCAGGAGUUAUAAUGGGACGGCAUCUGGAAUCAAACAUGAUAACCAAUCUGUUUCUGUGUUUCCAGAUCCAAAUCUGAUAAACAAUUUGAGAGUUAGCAAUAGUUUCUCAGCUGGUAAUUACGCUGAUGUUCCCCCAUUUUCUAGUCAUCUGAAUUCUAAUACUUUAGUCCAAUCAUCUGAUGCCGAUACCCUUGAGGAUUAUGAUUUUAGUGACGUGGUGCUUAAGUACAUAAACCAUAUCCUUAUGGAAGAGGAUGUGGAAGAGAAAGCUUGCAUGUUUCAAGAAUCAGCAGCUCUUCAAGCUGCGGAGAGAUCAUUCUAUGAGGUACUUGGGGGGCAGUAUCCCGCAUCUACGAAUUAUUAUCUGCGAGUACCAAAUUUGGAUCAGAAUGUUGAAAAUUCUGAUGAAAACUUUUCAGGAGAUUAUAUAAAUUGUUGUGCUACUGGUAAUGCUGAUUUAUUCCAGGACUGGAAUACUGAUCCUUAUUGCACUGGAUUUGAUGAACAGCAUGUUUCUGUCGGCAUUGCUUCACAAUUGACUUCUCAGUCAUCUUAUAGCCCAUCAAGUAGCACUAGUACCUUCACUGAUGGUCCAGCGGAUUCUCCUGUUAGUACACUUAAAAUUCCUAAUAUAUUUAAUGAUAGCCAAUCGGUUAUGCAAUUUAAGAAAGGGGUUGAGGAAGCUGCUAAGUUUCUUCCUAAUGGCAAUAAUUUAGUAGUUGAUUUGAGGUACAAUGAGUUGUUGGGGAAAGAGAAGAAAGAAGGGACAAAUGGUAUGGUAUUUAAGGUGGAAAAGAAAUAUGACAAUGAGGACUCUGCUGAUGUUUCAAGGGGUAAGAAGAAUCCGUAUCAAGAGACUACAAGCAUGCACGAAGAGAGGAGUUACAAGCAGACAGCUGUUUGUACGGAAUCGACUGCGAGUCCAGAGAUGUUUGAUAUGGUGCUUCUGUGCAGUGGAGGAAGAAAUGAAUCUGCACUUCGGAAAGCAUUGCAGAAUGAAGCAACUAAAAAUGCUCUGCAAAAUAGUCAACCUAAGGGGUCUAAUGGUGGGAAAAAUCGUGGCAAGAAACCGGGAGGCAGAAGGAAUGUGGUUGAUUUGAGAACCCUUUUGACCCUUUGCGCACAAGCUGUUGCAUCUGAUGACCGAAGGUCUGCUAAUGAGUUUCUGAAGCAGAUCAGACAACAUUCGACUCCUAUAGGAGACGGGAUGCAAAGGCUUGCCCACUGGUUUGCUGAUGGUCUUGAAGCACGUAUGGCUGGAUCUGGAACUCAGAUCUACAAAGCCCUUAUUAAUAUGCCUACAUCAGCUGCUGACAUCUUGAAAGCCUACCAUAUCUAUCUUGCUACAUGUCCAUUUAGGAAGAUCUCUAACUUCUUUGCAAAUAAGACCAUUAUGAAUGCGGCUAAAAAUGCCACAAGGCUUCACAUCAUUGAUUUUGGUAUUCUAUAUGGUUUUCAGUGGCCUUGCUUUCUACAACGUCUCUCGUCUAGGCCUGGUGGUCCCCCCAAGCUUCGUAUUACUGGUAUUGAUCUUCCAUGUCCCGGGUUUCGACCAUCAGAAAGGGUUGAAGAGACAGGACGACGCUUGGCUAGUUAUGCUGAGACUUUUAAUGUUCCAUUUGAGUUCAUCGCUAUAGCUCAGAAGUGGGAAACUAUUAAGAUUGAGGAUCUUAUGGUCAACAAAGAUGAGGUUGUUGUGGUGAAUUGCCUUUAUAGGUUUAGGAAUCUGCUUGAUGAAACUGUAGUGGUAAACAGUCCAAGAAAUAUUGUCCUGAACCUUAUCAGGAAAAUUAGUCCAGAUGUUUUUGUACUGGGGAUAUUGAAUGGUGCUUAUAAUGCUCCCUUCUUUAUUACAAGAUUCCGUGAGGCUCUGUUUCAUUAUUCAUCAUUUUUUGACAUGCUUGAGGCUAAUAUUCCUCGUGAAAUUCACGAGCGGAUGCUGCUUGAGAAAACCAUAUUUGGACGGGAAGCCAUGAAUGUCAUUGCAUGUGAAGGUGCCGAAAGGAUCGAGAGACCAGAGACAUACAAGCUGUGGCAGGUUCGAAAUAUUAGGGCUGGAUUCGAACAGCUUCCUCAGAAUGAGGAGAUAAUGAGGAUGGGAAAAGAUUGGGUUACAUCAUCCUACCACAAGGAUUUUGUGAUUGAUGAAGAUGGCCACUGGAUGUUGCAAGGUUGGAAGGGACGUGUCUUAUAUGCACUUUCUUCUUGGAGGCCAGUUUAUUGAAUUUGUUGGUACUACUUACGGGAAGGCAAGAUGAGUGGUUGUUGCACAUGCUGCGAAUAUCAAUGUGUCUUUACUGUAUAUAGCUGCCAAGGUAUAAGUAUGAUAUCUAUUGCACACGGGCCUGAAAAGUGGGUAGUUCUGGUGAUCAGUAAUGUGGUGGAUUAAAGUCUUGUGAUCAAAGAGGCUAAUUUCUCCGAUGAUCCUUGUACCACCAAACAUGCUGGUUUACACUUGAGAAUUCAUUGAAGCUGUAAAGAAAGAAGACCAUUUGUAGCUGUGCAUGUCAACACUCUAGUUAGUAGUUGUUUUUAGUCAAAUCAUAACUCUGCUAGUAUGUAAAACACUGUUUUCAAAGGACUACGUUAUGUAAGUGAUUAUAGUUUAAUGAUCCUGUCCAAUUUAAGAACAUGCUAUUUAGCUUUAUUUUC